AGGGGUCAGAGGAUCAGGGACUGACAUUACUGGGAGAGUGGGUCAAGGGUCAGUCUUUUGAGAAAUACAGACAAUUGGAUCUAACAAAAAGUAAUGAAGUGCAUCUAUUGAAUUGGCAUUGGGUAUCUUCAUUUGAAUAAACGAUGGCUUUUUUGUUGUAUUAUGUUAACUAAAUAUUGUUGGUUUUUGUCUGUGGUCCAUAAUUAUAAUACACAAAUAUGCAUUUAGACAUUUAAAAAAAAUGUUACAUGCCAAGAAAUGUUUUCAGAAGUAAGAUCUGACCUAUACAAUGUAUAUUGAUAUGUUAAAAAUAUCUGAUACAUAUGCUCAUUCUGUGUACUGUUACACGAUUAUCAAAAAAUUCAUUUUUGUUUUUGAGGAUACACUGUACAAAUUCUGGAAAUUCUUACCUAACUACUGAGAAAACUGUUAAGUUUUACAAGAGGCCAAAUGCAUAAGUCUUUCAAACAUUUUAACAGUUAUAAUAAACUGCAGAAUUUGUUAAAUUUUAACAUGCAAACAAAAUAAACGAAAUACAGAAGUUUUGU
rnacentral:misc_RNA from 1 species